rnacentral:rRNA from 1 species
UGGGGAAUAUUGGACAAUGGGGGGAACCCUGAUCCAGCCAUGCCGCGUGUGUGAAGAAGGCCUUAUGGUUGUAAAGCACUUUAAGCGAGGAGGAGGGUACUGGUAUUAAUACUACCAGGUACUGGACGUUACUCGCAGAAUAAGCACCGGCUAACUCUGUGCCAGCAGCCGCGGUAAUACAGAGGGUGCGAGCGUUAAUCGGAUUUACUGGGCGUAAAGCGUGCGUAGGCGGCUAAUUGAGUCGGAUGUGAAAUCCCCGAGCUUAACUUGGGAAUUGCAUUCGAUACUGGAUAGCUAGAGUGUGGGAGAGGAUGGUAGAAUUCCAGGUGUAGCGGUGAAAUGCGUAGAGAUCUGGAGGAAUACCGAUGGCGAAGGCAGCCAUCUGGCCUAACACUGACGCUGAGGUACGAAAGCAUGGGGAGCAAACAGG